CGGGCGGGUGAGUAAUGUCUGGGAAACUGCCUGAUGGAGGGGGAUAACUACUGGAAACGGUAGCUAAUACCGCAUAACGUCGCAAGACCAAAGAGGGGGACCUUCGGGCCUCUUGCCAUCGGAUGUGCCCAGAUGGGAUUAGCUAGUAGGUGGGGUAAAGGCUCACCUAGGCGACGAUCCCUAGCUGGUCUGAGAGGAUGACCAGCCACACUGGAACUGAGACACGGUCCAG
rnacentral:rRNA from 1 species